CCAUCUCUGUAAUAGAUUCUUUGCAUCGGUGCUUUACUCUAACAUACAGUGGCAUGGUGCCCUGGCUAAAAACACACAGCCAGAGUCAUACAGACAGCCCAGUUCUGUCAACACACAAACACAGUACUGAUCGACCUGAAUCAGUGAGGAUUACAGAUUUGGCCUAUCUGAACAUUCUGUGGAGAAACAUUUAAAGCCUUUUAAAACACAUGCGGUCAAAAACUGGUUGUUAUUUGAAAUAAAAAGCUACUCUGUUGACAGAACAGUCUUUCUAUACGUCUCCAGUCUCCAGUCAGCUUGGAGAAGUCGCCUCGGGGUUGGAGGAUGGAGAUGGGGAGCGGGUGGCUGACAAGGUCCAUACAGGUGGGGGCUGCGUCGCCAAAAGCAUCUUGGGAUCUCGAAUGUUACGUUUGGAAAACAAGAGAUUAUGUUACAUCGUGUUUCCGGUGAGUGUCGUUCAUGACCUCAGCACUCGCGAUGUUGCUCCCUGGAGAAACUGGAAAUAUUACACCAACGCCAAUUACGUAGCAAAGGGCUCUCAAGAAUGUACGCUCUAAUCCGAAUAACAAAAUAUCUAUGAGGCGGAUAGAGUAUAAAUAAUUUUUUGCAGUCAUGCGACAAACUUUACAGGUGCAACCUGGAUUGCAAGAAAGUGAAAAUAAUAUUGCUCCACAGCACCUUUCAGGCCACUGAGUAGAAUGCAUUAAAUGGCCCUUGCGAUAAAGCAGAUGCAAUGCUAAAAAACAGAUAUACUCAACAACACUGCUAUGAUUUUUUUUGUUGUUGUUUUCGUUUUAGUUUUCAGUACAAGUAGAGUUUAGUCACGUGUUGUUAAGCUGAGCCUUGGCGACAAGCAGCAAAGCCUCUGAAAAGACUACUACAGGUAACAGAUGCACUAAGCAAGCUUCACAUGACCAACAGAGUCGCCAUUGUUAGGUUACAUGUGCUGUUAACGUGGUCACAGACUCCACUGAGUAGCUUUAACCCCAUAACGCCAACUGUAUCAUAUUUAACACAUGAGUUGUGAGUUUUUUUAAACUUCUUUAAAUAUCAUCAACCUAAAAAAUGUCAGAUAAAGCAAAAAUUAUACAGAUUGAAACUCGUGUAUUGAUAAUUCAUUUCUUUUUUUUUUUCUUUUUUCAUUUGUCAGAAGGAAAGGAAUGGCUCAGGCUUAACAGGGUUAGGUUUGCUUCUCGUGCUGUGUGGCCUCCUAAAUGAAUGAAAAGCCAAACAUUUCAUCCUUCAAUGCAUAAAGUAGACAUUUGUGAAAUAAUGAAAACAGGCUCCAAGAUAUAACCCUUGGAUAAUUAUGGAUGGAGUGCGGAGGUCACACAUAAAGGCUUAAACUUAAAAGGGGGGUCAAUGCUUAAACUUAUAAAUCCAGCGGGGGAAAAAGUGGAUUACAGUUAAAUGGUUAAUCCAAACAGCAAGUUUCUCCAGAAGAGUACACUCGAUACCCCUAAAAUACUCAUCAACGACAGUAUGACGUGUUUUUUAACCUUUACCAAAAAAACCGCGUCGACCAGCUUCGUCUCAAAGCAGCUCAAUCAUCGCUGAGGGAAAAGCGAGUGUGUCGUGCAUCACGUGCGCAGACCGGAAACACUGGGAGGGUAAAGAUGCUUUUAAGAAACCAGCCCUCAUUAGUGCAACUACGGUAAGAAGGAAAGCCGUAACAAUGAUGAUUACGAUCGUGAUGAUAGUGAUGAUGAAGCAGAAGAUACACUGUUUAAUGCUGGCGUGCGUAACUAACGUCACACUGCGCAGAGGAGGAGACACGAAGGCAUGAGACAGAGAGAAGGAAGCGGAGGUGGAAGGAAAAGGCAGAGAAGCCUCUUUGAGAUGAAAGCUUCUACGAAACAGACUCGAUCUCGAAUCUGGGCCACUGUUUGUCGAGCUGUCGAGUACAAUUUUAGAACUUAAGUAAUAAGAAAAAUGUCUAAAUUCAGUUUUAUUUUAUUUCUCCUAACAAACUGGAGCAGUUUAUGGUUUUAUUCUGACUUAAAUGUUGUUGUUUUGGAGUGUUUACACAAACUACAGCUUGUACAAUAAUCUGUUAUUUGUAUCUGAUUUGAACAUUUUAAAGAUUUUCACCAUUUUCCCUUCAUCUGUACUUUGUAUUCCAGACAAAGUAUUUAUGUAUCUUGUAAAUUAGACGAUACAUUUCUACUGAAGAUAAGAAUUUGUGAAAAGUAACGAGCAACAGUGCAGAUGACUUGACUCUGAUUGGUGAUUGGUUGUUCGAUGGCCUUAUGAGCUGCUCUAUCGUGUUUACUCUUUGGC
ensembl:lncRNA